GCGGCGGGGCCGUAGAAGCGGUGGUAUUCCCGUGGGGCCGCCCACUCGCCCGCAUGCAGGCUCCCGGGCCGGCUGCGGAAGCUGUGGGCCUGGACUGGGGGUAGCAGCAGAGGGGCGGCCAGGAGUUCAGUGGCAUGACCAGGGCUCACUGCAACCUUGAUCUGGGCUCAAGUGAUCCUCCUACCUCAGCUUCCUGAGUAGCUAGGACCACAGGUGUGCACCAACCACACCCGACUAAUUUUUGUAGAGAUGAGAUCCCACUAUGUUACCCAGGCUGGUCUUGAACUCCUGGGCUCAGGUGAUCAUCCUGCCUUGGCUUCCCAAAGUACUGGGAUUAUAGGCUUGAGCCACCGUGCCUGGCCUGUGAUCAGAAUUCUCAUUUUUUUAGUCACUAAAAAUGCUGGGGGGCACUCCAUUCUCCAUUAUGUGAUUAGUUCACAUUGCAUGCUUGUAUCAAAACAUCAUAUAUACCCCACAAAUAUAUACAAAAAACUUUAAAAUUUUAAGUAUUAAUUGCUCAGGAAAAAAUUAAAAUGCUGGGGUGCUGAAAUCUCAAGGGCCCCAUUACAAAACUCCUUAGGAACCUCGCCCUCUCUCUGCUGUAAGGACUGGUUCCAGAAUGAGAGAAUUUAAAAGACAUUCCCCCCCCAAAAUGUUCAUAAUGUCACCCCGGAAACCUGCGAAUAUGUUAUAUUACAUGACCAGGGAGAAGUAAGGUUGCAGAUGGCAGUAAGGUUGCUAAUGGGCUGACCUUAAGAUAAGGAGAUGAUCCUGGAUUAUCUGGGUGGACCCAAUGUAAUCACAAGGGUCCUUAACUGUGGAAUAGUGAGGUGGCUGAGUCAGAGGCAGAGUGAUGCAAUGACUGAAAGACUUAACCAGCCAUCACCGGCUUUGAAUACGGAAGACGGUCAUGAGCCAGGGAAUGCAGGCAGGCUCUGGGAGCUGAAAAAAGCAAGAAAAUGGAUUCUCCCCUGGAGCCUCCAGAAGGGAUGCGGUCCUGCCAACCCCUUGUCAGUGAGCCAUUUCAGAUUUCUGACUUCCAGGACUGUAAGAAAAUAAACUUGUCUUGUUUUCAGCC
rnacentral:lncRNA from 1 species